GGGGCAGUGGCGAAAUGGCAGACGCACGGGACUUAAAAUCCCAGGCCGCGAGGUGUGCGGGUUCGAGUCCCGCCUGCCCCA
rnacentral:tRNA from 1 species